CCUACGGGGGGCAGCAGUGAGGAAUAUUGGUCAAUGGGCGGGAGCCUGAACCAGCCAUGCCGCGUGAAGGCGAGUGCCCUACGGGCGUUAAACUUCUUUUGUGCGGGAGCAAUAAGGGCCACGCGUGGCCCGAUGAGAGUACCGCACGAAUAAGCAUCGGCUAACUCCGUGCCAGCAGCCGCGGUAAUACGGGGGAUGCGAGCGUUAUCCGGAUUUAUUGGGUUUAAAGGGUGCGUAGGUGGUUAAUUAAGUCAGCGGUGAAAGUUUGUGGCUCAACCAUAAAAUUGCCGUUGAAACUGGUUGACUUGAGUAUAUUUGAGGUAGGCGGAAUGCGUGGUGUAGCGGUGAAAUGCAUAGAUAUCACGCAGAACUCCGAUUGCGAAGGCAGCUUACUAAACUAUAACUGACACUGAAGCACGAAAGCGUGGGGAUCAAACAGGAUUAGAUACCCGGGUAGUC
rnacentral:rRNA from 1 species